UUACGGCCAUAUCACGUUGAAACACUGGUAUUUGUACGAUCAUCGAAGUUAAGCAACAUCGAGCCUGGUCAGUACCGAGGUGUGUGCUCGAUUGUGAAUACCAGGUGCUGUAAG